rnacentral:rRNA from 1 species
UACGAACUGUGCAAACGUUAUUCGGAUUCACUGGGCUUAAAGGGUGCGUAGGCGGCCAUGUAAGUAGGGUGUGAAAUCCCCCGGCUUAACCGGGGAACUGCGCCCUAAACUGUAUGGCUGGAGUGAGAUAGGGGUGUGUGGAACUUCCGGUGGAGCGGUGAAAUGCGUAGAUAUCCUGAGGAACACCGGUGGCGAAAGCGGCGUGCUGGACACCUUCUGACGCUGAGGCGCGAAAGCCAGGGGAGCGAACGGG